CCAGACUCCUACGGGAGGCAGCAGUGGGGAAUAUUGCACAAUGGGGGAAACCCUGAUGCAGCGACGCCGCGUGAGUGAAGAAGUAUUUCGGUAUGUAAAGCUCUAUCAGCAGGAACGAGACAAGACGGUACCUGACUAAGAAGCCCCGGCUAACUACGUGCCAGCAGCCGCGGUAAUACGUAGGGGGCGAGCGUUAUCCGGAAUUACUGGGUGUAAAGGGAGCGUAGACGGCGAGGUAAGCCUGAAGUGGAAGCCCGCGGCCCAACCGCGGAACUGCUUUGGGAACUGUUUUGCUGGAGUGCUGGAGAGGCAAGCGGAAUUCCUAGUGUAGCGGUGAAAUGCGUAGAUAUUAGGAAGAACACCAGUGGCGAAGGCGGCUUGCUGGACAGUAACUGACGUUGAGGCUCGAAAGCGUGGGGAGCAAACAGGAUUAGAUACCCCUGUA
rnacentral:rRNA from 1 species